GAGUUUGAUCAUGGCUCAGAUUGAACGCUGGCGGCAGGCCUAACACAUGCAAGUCGAACGGUAACAGGAAGAAGCUUGCUUCUUUGCUGACGAGUGGCGGACGGGUGAGUAAUGUCUGGGAAACUGCCUGAUGGAGGGGGAUAACUACUGGAAACGGUAGCUAAUACCGCAUAACGUCGCAAGACCAAAGAGGGGGACCUUCGGGCCUCUUGCCAUCGGAUGUGCCCAGAUGGGAUUAGCUAGUAGUGGGGUAACGGCUCACCUAGGCGACGAUCCCUAGCUGGUCUGAGAGGAUGACCAGCCACACUGGAACUGAGACACGGUCCAGACUCCUACGGGAGGCAGCAGUGGGGAAUAUUGCACAAUGGGCGCAAGCCUGAUGCAGCCAUGCCGCGUGUAUGAAGAAGGCCUUCGGGUUGUAAAGUACUUUCAGCGGGGAGGAAGGGAGUAAAGUUAAUACCUUUACUCAUUGACGUUACCCGCAGAAGAAGCACCGGCUAACUCCGUGCCAGCAGCCGCGGUAAUACGGAGGGUGCAAGCGUUAAUCGGAAUUACUGGGCGUAAAGCGCACGCAGGCGGUUUGUUAAGUCAGAUGUGAAAUCCCCGGGCUCAACCUGGGAACUGCAUCUGAUACUGGCAAGCUUGAGUCUCGUAGAGGGGGGUAGAAUUCCAGGUGUAGCGGUGAAAUGCGUAGAGAUCUGGAGGAAUACCGGUGGCGAAGGCGGCCCCCUGGACGAAGACUGACGCUCAGGUGCGAAAGCGUGGGGAGCAAACAGGAUUAGAUACCCUGGUAGUCCACGCCGUAAACGAUGUCGACUUGGAGGUUGUGCCCUUGAGGCGUGGCUUCCGGAGCUAACGCGUUAAGUCGACCGCCUGGGGAGUACGGCCGCAAGGUUAAAACUCAAAUGAAUUGACGGGGGCCCGCACAAGCGGUGGAGCAUGUGGUUUAAUUCGAUGCAACGCGAAGAACCUUACCUGGUCUUGACAUCCACGGAAGUUUUCAGAGAUGAGAAUGUGCCUUCGGGAACCGUGAGACAGGUGCUGCAUGGCUGUCGUCAGCUCGUGUUGUGAAAUGUUGGGUUAAGUCCCGCAACGAGCGCAACCCUUAUCCUUUGUUGCCAGCGGUCCGGCCGGGAACUCAAAGGAGACUGCCAGUGAUAAACUGGAGGAAGGUGGGGAUGACGUCAAGUCAUCAUGGCCCUUACGACCAGAGCUACACACGUGCUACAAUGGCGCAUACAAAGAGAAGCGACCUCGCGAGAGCAAGCGGACCUCAUAAAGUGCGUCGUAGUCCGGAUUGGAGUCUGCAACUCGACUCCAUGAAGUCGGAAUCGCUAGUAAUCGUGGAUCAGAAUGCCACGGUGAAUACGUUCCCGGGCCUUGUACACACGCCCGUCACACCAUGGGAGUGGGUUGCAAAAGAAGUAGGUAGCUUAACCUUCGGGAGGGCGCUUACCACUUUGUGAUUCAUGACUGGGGUGAAGUCGUAACAAGGUAACCGUAGGGGAACCUGCGGUUGGAUCACC
rnacentral:rRNA from 1 species